rnacentral:misc_RNA from 1 species
UCCCCCGUGAGGGGGCAGUCUCGCCUGACAAAUAUAACAGGCAACGAGGGUUGCGUUCGUUACCCCACUGAAGGGAACGGUUCAAACCACGAACUGACGACAGCCAUGCAUCACCUGUCCUACACCCUCGAAGGCUUCCUAGCUUUCGCUAGGCGUGCAGUAGGAUUUCUAGCCCUGGUAAGGUUCUUCGUUUAGCGACGAAUUGAGCCACACGCUCCACCACUUGUGCAAGCCCCCGUCUAUUCCUUUGAGUUUUAGCCUUGCGGCCGUACUACCCAGGCGGAUAACUUAACGCGUUAGCUUCGACUCGGAGAGGGUCGAUACUCCCCAAAUCCAGUUAUCAUCGUUUACAGCUAGGACUAC